GUUGACAGUUUGAAUUAUUAACAGUUGUUUGCCCAGUGCAGCUUUGUAGUAAUUCUAAACCGAAGUGGACGAAAAGAGGUUGUAAAAUUUUGUAAAGGUGAAAGUAAGGUCAUUGAUGACAGGAAGGAAAAAUAUUUGUACUAUCAGGCACAAUCAUCUAAACAAAAAGGAGUCAACAUGCGUUUGAAGAUAACACAUAUUUUAGUCAUAAUGUUAUUAAUUUCAAGCGAUACUAUGAAAGCAUCUUGUCAACUAUGUAGAGUGUUUCGGGACCGCAAUCAUAGACUACACUGUUUUGACACGAGACGUGUUUCAAAGAAUCGUCAAGGUAGAUGUGGACGUCUCUCUGGCAAUGGUGUGUACAGAUGGUGUGGAUUUAUAGGUAGUAAUUGUCGUUGCAGAUCUAACCAAGUCAUCGGCAAGGAAUUUCUACUGUCCGUGUUGCGAGGUGAUAAUAAAUAUUGAUAAAUAUUUCAGACUUUUGAGGAUAUUACAAUUUAUAACAAAAGUUGCAGUGCACACCUAUUUCUGUCUGAACUAUGAGAGAUAAAAUUUAUGGAAAUUAUUUGAGAAAGAUAUGUGCAUUUAUUUACUGAUGAAGUUAUUAUACAUACAUGUACCUUUGAUUUAGAAUAUAUCAUUGAAUACUAUUGUGAAGUUCAAGGUCAAGACAAAUCAGUAUGAUGUAUUAUAUUCGCCGAGGAAUUAUCUUUAAAUAUUAGAAUUUAUUUUGAGAUAUAUAGAUAAUUGAUUUUAUGCGUAAUGGAAGGAAACAAAGAAAAAUCGAACGACGAACAGUUUUAAAGAAGAAACAAAUGCAACAAGAAGUAAAAGAAACGAUGUAUAUACGUUUGUUUUGAACAGUACCUGUUUACAAGUUUAUAAUGAUUUAAUGUUAACUCGUGCAAACACUUACUAACAAUAUUCUAAUAUUCAGCCAAAUUGUAUAAUAACCAUGAAUGCUUAAAUGGUUAUGGUCUCUACAAUCCGUAGCAAUACAUGCAAGUAACACUGGACAAUCUCUACCAACGGAUUUUAUUAUGAAUACUUGCCUGGGCAAACUGGAUUUUGUUAAAAAGAAUGUUGGAGAAAUUGACACGAAGAUGUAAAAGAUGUUGAUGCCCGUGCUAUGGAAAACGUUGAUAAACACUUCAGACGAAAUCGUUAAUACGAAAGAUUACUCUUUAGACAAAACAGGUAAACAAUUAAGCUACAAAGCGAGAUGAGGGAAUUGAAGGAACAGUGUCCUGCCUUAACGCAAAGCACAUAAUAAGUUUUAAAAUGGACGGUAUAUUCAGUGAGUGACAUGGGACAAAAACGAUAAAAUUUGCAAAGUUGUUUGUUUUUAUUUAGUUUAGUUGAGUUUCAUCAUAAUUUUAUUAAAUAACUUAAAACAACAGUAUUGUUAAUAACAAUAAUAACUUCUAAUAGUACUAACAAAGACAUAAUAAAAGGAACAAAAUGUGA